rnacentral:lncRNA from 12 species
CAGUUGUGCCUCCCUCUCAGAGCUAAAGGAGAACUAGAUGUGUCCCAGCUUGGACAUCAUGGAGAGUGAAAUCAAAGUUCUGUUUGAUUUAUCUGAUGAGUUCAUUUUACAGCAUCUUAUUGCUCUGCGUCUUCAACUGCUCAGCCUUGUGGUGAGAUUUCCUAGGGGUAAUUAUUUCCCACUGACUCAGACCACAGGACAGUGUGAACACCUAACAAAUAGUAAGUUUAUGUCUUGUUUUUUAUUAUUUUUAUUUUAUGAUUAAUAUGAAAAAGCUGAGA